ACUCGAUGGACAAUCCAUCAGAACUGUAAGGUUUUCUGGAGUGCUGAUCAUUUUUCUUUGCGACCCCACAGAUUUGUUUUUGCAACAUUUAAGAUACGUAUCGGAUCCAAGGAAAUUUCAUGAUGCAGCCUUCCGGGAUUUUAUCUUCCGAAACUGAGGGACCAGGCGUGUGCUUAGAAGUAUGCAGUGGCAAUCUCAAGGUGUAAGAGUAAAGCUGUCUCAAGGAAGACACUGGAAAAUAUGGUCAUGCUGCCAGGCUUGCUGGGGACUUGGACUGACAUAGGUUUCUGUCAUGAAGGACUAGAAUCCUUCUGAGAAGGGAUAAGGAGAGGUAUGUCAGAAGUCUUGCUGAGGAUGUCGAGGGUUUUCUCAAUACAAACGACCUUAAACCUGCCUUCCAAGCUCUGAAAAAGCUCCGUUCCAAAUCAAAAUCUCAGACAAGUAACAAAUAAAUAGCUGAUGGGUAGAUAGUAUCAGAUGUGGAUGGGUACUGGGCACGUUGGAUACUUUGGGCAGCUGUACAAGCAGUCAUCUUCCUCUUGCUGGUUUGCAGAUGGUGGCUGCUGAUCCACUCCACCAAUGGAUGAAAUUCCACCGUUGCGGAUGUGAGAGAUGCUGUGAGAAAGUUGAAGGAUGAAAAGGCAGCUGGGGUCUGUAAUAUCAGGGCAGAGUUGCUGAAAGACAAACGGGUUCACACCUGCACUGGGAGGAGUUGGUGUAACAAGACUUCUUCAGCUUCCACCCUUUAGCAAGAACCACCAUGGUUCAUGAGUCAUUUGGGCAAGGAAAACCACCGCAUCCAGAAUCCUGCAGCUGUGCGUAUAAUGGAUCAUAGUUCUUCAGAGUAGGGUUUGCUUACUAUUUGGGUCUUGUAAAUGUCUUCCCCUCCCUCUCUAUUUCCUUUCUUUUCCUCUUUCCCUUUUCUUCUACCUUCCUUUUUCUGAAAAUCUACCCUACUACAAUAUGAGUAACCAUUUCUUCACAAAUAGAUAACUAAAUACCAGGCAUGGGGAGCCACACAGGUCUUAGUACUACUUUUCCUUACAUCUUUCCUUCUCUCUUUUUCCUCAUUUCCGUUGCUUCUUAUCACCCUGUGGGAAGCUCUUUGGAUUCAUGUUUAGAUUUUGGGAGGGUUCGCGAAAAUUGUCAAUUCUCCACUAAAAAGCUAAAGUCAUCCCACCUUAUUUUAUACUACCUUUUUAUCAUGUAUUCUUAUAUUUCCCUCAUAUGACACAACGAUUGUCAUAAAUGUAUAUCUUAUAAAAAUAUUAUAUAAUCUGCAAAAGUGCCAAAAUUGUCACCUAUAAAAAAUGAAAGUUAGCAUACUCAUCAUUUAUAUACAGGAACCUCUUAAUUUACGCGAGUAUUGUGUUUGCGGUGAGUUUGUAUAAUGUAAAUUUCGCAUAAUAUAAACAACUUUUCCAUACUGUA